AGGCAAACUACAGAGGAUGUUCAAGAAAAAGAAACCAGCGACAGGAAACCCAUUCUUACCAGGUCCUUCAAUGGAAACCUCAGAUGUCAGCAAUACCGAGGCAGGGCAACCAGAUGGAAAUCUAGGUUAUGUGGAUGAUAAGCACUUAUAUCUUUAUUGCCAAAGACAUGAGACUGGAAGGCGAACAACUAAUCCGCAGCCUGGGUCUCAGUUGGAGCAAGAUACAACAAAUAUGGAGUGAUAACAGACGAUUGCUGGAAUGCGUAAUAGAAAUGCUUACAGAAUGGAGAAAACAACAGGACUAUGAGACAAAUCAAGUUGAGAUAAUGUGCAGGGCUUUAAGAUAGCAGGGACUCACCGAGCUUGCUAACAAGGUCUUUGGCUCACAAACAUCAGAGGAUCAAUCAUCCCAUGUACAAGCAAGUACAGAUCAUCCUUGUGGAAGAUUACAUUGAAUGAACCAGCAACAUGAUGGUUGCUUGGCUGAUACUGACCUUAAGUUCAUUGCUGGAAGACUUGACAAUGACUGGAAACAUUUAAACACCUACCUUCAAAUGAAGAGCUAUGAAUAAAUCAAAUUGCAAGAAUAUUUUCAGGACACAUGCUUUGGAGACCAAAAUAGCAUUACAUCAUGACUAUAUAUGGGCACAUCAUGAUUAUAUAUAGGCACAUCAUGACUGUAUAUGGGCACAUCAUGACUACAUAUGGGCGCAUCAUGACUAUAUAUGGGCUCAUCAUGACUAUA